rnacentral:rRNA from 1 species
CGAGGAAAAGAAAUCAACCGAGAUUCCCCCAGUAGCGGCGAGCGAACGGGGAGGAGCCCAGAGUCUGAAUCAGCGCGUGUGUUAGUGGAAGCGUCUGGAAAGUCGCACGAUACAGGGUGAAAGUCCCGUACACAAAAAUGCACACGCUGUGAACUCGAAGAGUAGGGCGGGACACGUGGUAUCCUGUCUGAAUAUGGGGGGACCAUCCUCCAAGGCUAAAUACUCCUGACUGACCGAUAGUGAACCAGUACCGUGAGGGAAAGGCGAAAAGAACCCCGGCGAGGGGAGUGAAAAAGAACCUGAAACCGUGUACGUACAAGCAGUGGGAGCCUCUUUAUGGGGUGACUGCGUACCUUUUGUA